GCAGAACUUUAUCUUCUCUUUGCAGCUCAAAUGAAGCGUCACAGCAGUAGCACUAACUGUGCUUCCACGUUUCCAGCAUGUCUCUUCAUUAACCUUUUUUUAUUGCUGUAGCCAUGAACAAACACCCUUCCCAGGGCAGGAACAGAAGAUGUCCUGCCCAUGGCAUUGAAGGGGAUGCACUGCCCUUGGCCCAAGCUGUGAGCUUGGGAUAUCUCACGCGAGUGCCCAGUCUGCGGUGCAAACAGUCCUAUCGCAGCCAAGUAGAUGAGUCUCGUGGUCUGUGCUGCAUGUAGAUUAGCUGUAAUGAAAGAGGGAAACCUGUUAUAACCCUAGUAGGAAAGUUUCUGUGAGGCAGGGAAGGACAGGCGGUAACAGUGCCUCCCAGUUAUGUGUGCUGGUGGCUGCGUGCCCCUGGCAGAGCCGGCGGGGCUGGCGGAGCGUGUCCCUGCAGCACCCGCUUCGCAGCGCGGGGGCAUGGUCCUCAGCUCGUGUUCUUAGGACGCGGUUAUGAAUAACUGCAAGGGAACUAAAUGGAUAAAUCUGGUUUUAGGGUCUUCAAAGCUCACUUGGCUGUGGUGAGGGUCUCAGGAGGAAUGCCCACCUGGCUGUGGUGAGGGUCUCCAGGAGGAAGGCUGUGGGCUGCAGAGGAAUCCAUCCUGCUGGGCGGGUGGGAGUCACAAGCCCCAAGCUGGGGCCUUGCAAUCCCCCAGUGGCUUCUGCGUUCCCUGUGGAGAGCCUGAAUGAACGGGGAGAGAUGGGGAUCCAUGCUGCAAGGUGGUCUUCCCUGUUGCUCCCAAGGGCAGUGAACCUAACCUGCUGGAGAGGAGAACAGCCUGAGGUCUUGGCAGCAGCGGGUCCUUGCUCCGGGGGCUUUGGAAAAUCCCUGCCGCUGCCCUUUCACCCUGCCAGCUCGGCCUUGUGAAUCACAUCACUGGACGUCCUCGAGGGUCCAAGCGCGACAGGGGUUAAGCCCUUGCAACGAGAGUGUCUUCAUGAGAGAAAGCUGCGGUCUUCCUGUGCUGGUUCGGGGGCCGGUUACCAGAGGGAUGCCGCUCACCUCGCCUGGCUGCGUCCGCGGGCGGUGAAGGCUGCCCUCUCCCGACGCAAGGACUGUCUGAGCAGCGCGACAGCCGAAAUGCAGCUCGGCAGCCCCGCACCUGCAGCAGGGUCAGCCUCGGCAUACAGCAUCCCCGGGCAGCGGGCAGCCCGGGGCCGGGCCGCGGUGUGUCCCGUCCCUGCGAGCGCAGCCUGACCUGGCUCUUGCGAAAUCAGAGACAUGAAAACUGAGAGGUGCUCCAAGCUGAGGGGGUGUCCCGUUGUUUUUCCUGAGGGCUUCAGCCUGAAGCCAGGAGGCCUGGGCAGGGACACAGGACCUGACAGAAGAGGAUGCUGCAAAGACAGAGGUCUGGCCUCUGCCGAUCACCGGCAACGCUGCUUGCCGCCUGCUAACGGAUUUCAGUACGGCAAAUGCAAAAGUUCAGGCCUACUCCAGCAGACAGACAUCGAACAGAUUAAGUUUCUUUUUAAUUAUAACAAGGAAACGGGAGACGUCUAAGAACCACUGCAGACAAGAAAUAGAAGGCAGCUGCCAAGUUAAAGCUGCCCCUGUCCACAGCCUGUAACGUGCCUGGUACGCGGGUGCUACAGCCUCGCACUCCUGUUGGUGCAGGGGUGGGGACGCUGCCGGGGGAGAGGAAAGGCGUCCGAGCGCGGCCCGAGCUGUUUCUCCAGCGCCCGGGUACCUGUGAGAUGCAAAAGCCCCGCCGCCGCGGUCGGCGGUACGGGCAGACAGGGCGGGCUCCGGCGCAGCGCACGGCCCCGCGCGGCGCUCGCCGCGGCGACUGCCACCUCCAGCAGCGACACAAACCGCCCGAAGUUACAAGGAGACCGGAGCAAAGCAGCGGCCGGGGCAAACACGGUCUCGCUUUGAAAUGUCGCCACGUGGCCGCGUGUCGCAGCCCGAGGCUCUCGCGGCCCGAGGCUCUCGCGGCCCGCUCACGGCGCCCGCUGCCUGCCGGGGACGGCGUGCCGAGCCGGCCCGACCGCGCGGCGUCCGGGGAACGGGCUCAGGAUCCCGGGACGCGUGCUGGGGCAGGGCGAGCGCACCCGCGCGGCCACAAGCCCGCCGCACAGAGUCCGUCAAAGCCACGACCCGGAGCAGCCCCUGGACGGCGGGACCCGCGGGGCUGCCGGUGGCCGCGCUGGCUCCUGAGCGCACCGAGUCCGAGCUCUCCUUUCGACCUCGAGCCCGUAAGAGGAACCGUGGGGAUGGAUUUUUGAAAUCCCACAGAACUGGCAGGAUCUAGGCCUUAUCUGAGACAGCAAAAUAAUUAAUAAGCCUCUGUCCUUCAUUAUAUAGCAAUGGUAGGAUUUACCAAAAUCUGCAGGAUGGGGGGAUCGGGCACAACAAAGAGCAGUAAAUGAGAUCUAGAGCAGCACUCAGUGCCAACAUUUUAAGCCAACAACAAAAAAAAGUUGAAAGACUUGGUUAGCUCAGCAGGAAUUUUUCUUCAAAAAGAUUAUGAAAUAAAGUCAUUAAAAGUUCAUGCCUCAGCUACAAUGUUUUUUUUUUUUUUUUUUUUGAACCAAGUAUGAGGAAAAAAAAAACUGUGUUGACUGCAAAUAGCCUCUUUCUCUAGUUCCCUAGCAAGAGAUGAACAGCGUUAAAUGACUAACGUCUAUAUUAUAGUAAUCUCCUUUAAAAAUAUAGGGAAAGAGGAAAAGAGAAAGGGUGUUGCUAUGUUGAAUAUUAUCAUCCUUUGCCAUACAAACAUGUUGCAUUCACCACUGCAACUCAGCUCAAACCAAAACCGAAACCUUUGUGUCUAUGUUCUGCACCACUUCCCCAGAAUCAGAAAUGUUGCUGGGAUUUCACCUGAGAUGCUCCAGCCUCCUUUGUGCCCUGUGAGGGCUCAGUGCACUCAACGCACUGUUCCCUGGCACCAUGGCAUUUGUGCUACUGCUAAAGGAACGGUAAAUAUUCCAGGCAGACACCUUGCCAGAAGCACAGCAAGAGAGUAAGAAGCAAAGACAACAGUAAAACCUGUUUUCCCUAUGGUCCCGUUUGCCCUUUCACCUGGUACAACGGACUGAUGAAUUCUGAGCUGUCACGUCAUCAUGAAACAUUCACUUGUUUUACACGUUUUUCUCUGAUUUGUUAUUCGUAGCUUUUCCCCCAAUGAACCAAGCAGAGGAAAAGUGGGAGUAGGGUAAAUCUCUCCCUUUGCUCCCUCCCUGAGUUGGAGAAUUACUGCGCUGCAUUCGCAUCAGCAACUCUCCAAGGCUUUUGCUCCUUGUCCUUGAGCACAGCUUCGGGCAUAGGAAAUAGCUGUAAAGGACCCACAUUUCCAGCCUCAAGGAGCUAUUGGCCUGAGUGAACCAGGAUGAGCAGGACUGGAGUGCAACCGGGUACUUCUGCUAACAGCGCUGCCCCUCCUGUAUCCAGAACAUACACUCCCAUGGGCUGUGUUUGCCAAUUUGGGCUGCUUUCUGCUGAAAAGCAACAGAUACAAAAAUAUUGUGCUUAUUAUCAUCACAGUUAAAAUUUCUCACUUAAUUCCUAAGCCUGAAAUGUCCUUGAUAUGAACUCAAAGUUACCAGUCCUGUGCUUUUCAGACUCGGUAGGAAUGUAUCUAUAGUUUGUGCACUGAGAUUCAACUUUGUUUUUUGUCUUUGGAUGAUGUAUUCUUGGACUUUUCUAUGAUUCCUCCCAGUGUAAUGUCAUAUUUCAUUCAAAUAAAACACAACUGGAGUGCCAGAAA